rnacentral:lncRNA from 1 species
CUGGCAUGACGUGACACUUCCUACGGCUCCCAUGGGCUCUCAGAAGGCGGGAAAAAGCUGAACGAUGUAAUUCCAUCCCCAGGCUGAAACACAUUAGCGCGUUUGGCAAGUGCUCUAUCAGAGGGCCAUUAGACUGAGGCUCGUGCAUGAGGGGAUAGCAUACUUACUUUCACUCUCUUUGUAAUAAAAAACGAUUUCCCGGUCGGAAUAUUAUCGCUUUUUUACGAGAAAAAUGCCAUAAAAAUGGAUUUUAAACAGCGGUUGACAUGCUUCGAAGUACGGUAAUGGAAUAUUUAGAAUUUUUUUGUCACGAAAUGGGCCAUGCUCGUCACCCUUAUUUACCCUUUCGGAUAGUGUCUUGAACGCACGAACAAAACGCUGCUGUUUGGAUAUAACAAUGGAUUAUUUGGGACCAAACCAACAUUUGUUAUUGAAGUAGAAGUCCUGGGAGUGCAUUCUGACGAAGAACAGCAAAGGACCUGAGCCCUAGGACCAUGCCUCAGGACUACCUGGCCUGAUGACUCCUUGCUGUCCCCAAUCCACCUGGCCGUGCUGCUGCUCCAGUUUCAACUGUUCUGCCUGCAGCUAUGGAACCCUGACCUGUUCACCGGACGUGCUACCUGUCCCAGACCUGCUGUUUUCAACUCUCUAGAGACAGCAGGAGCGGUAGAGAUACUCUGAAUGAUCGGCUAUGAAAAGCCAACUGACAUUUACUCCUGAGGUGCUGACCUGUUGCACCUUCGACAACCACUGUGAUUAUUAUUAUUUGACCCUGCUGAUCAUCUAUGAACAUUUGAAUAUCUUGGUGUCAUGCCCUGACCAUAGAGAGCCAUUGUUUCUCUAUGGUGAAGUGGUUCAGGGCGUGACUGGGGGGUGAUCUAGUUUAUUUAUUUCUAUGUGGGGUUCUAGGUUUUAAAUUCUAUUUUGGUGAUUUGUAUGAUUCCCUAUUAGAGGCAGCUGGUAAUUGUUGUCUCUAAUUGAGGAUCAUACUUAAGUAGUAUUUUUUCCACAUGUGGGUUAUGGGGUAUUAUUUUGAGUUAGUGCAUGUUGCACCUCUGUCGUCACGGUUUGUUGUUUGUUUAUAGUUUAUUGUUUGUCUUGCUAACUUUCACAUAAUAAUAAAGAUGUAGAACAAUACUCACGCUGCGC